CGAAAAUAGAAAUCUCGCCUUUCUUAAGAAGCACAAUUUCAGCUCAAAAUAAACACCGAAAAAAAAACACCGAGAAUUAUUAUUAACGAAAAAAAACGUUUUUUAAAAUCGUCGAUGAGAAUAAAAUGACUCGUACUAUAGUGAAGUCAUAAAAGACAAUUAAAGAAGAAAAUUAAAUAUCACAUUAUUGUUUCUGAAUAAAACUUGGGUCAUUAUUCUUAAGAACUCGCACACGAUGUUUAUCACACUAUUUUAAUUCUAUUUAAAUUCAAUCACGCUUUAUGUCCGUGUAUGAAGCAAUAAUAACUGAUAAAAUAUUGACUAAGUUAUCUGGCAACAAUAAGAAAGUGGAUCACAGUACACAGACUGUGUUUGAGUAUCAAAGGAGAGAGAGAGAAUAUUGCAAAAGUUACAUUGAAAAAUAUUCUCUAGGAAAUAUGGCAACGCUGUAAACCAGUAAAAAGAGACGGGCACACGGGCAGUUAGAUAGGAAUGCGUUGAACAGGAGGAACUUUGCUCGAGAGUUUGUGGUUGUAGGCUUUCAGACACGUAUACAUAUAUGUAAUUUUUGAAAGAGUAUUGUAUCAACACCACUAUAAACUUAACAUCCGCUCUUUAGGCUACAUAUGGGAGGGAUAAUGCAAGGUUUUAGACUGUACAUCAUUCCUAUUUUUGGCACUCCUCAAAAAAAAAAACAAAUUAUAUAGAUAAAUUAAUUCCUAAUAAAAAUAAGAAUACAAAAAUAUCAA